UACGAAGGAUGCAAGCGUUAUCCGGAUUUAUUGGGUUUAAAGGGAGCGUAGGCGGUCUUAUAAGUCAGUGGUGAAAUCUCGUUGCUUAACAACGACCGUGCCAUUGAUACUGUAGGACUUGAGUACGGUUGCCGUUGGCGGAAUGUGUCAUGUAGCGGUGAAAUGCAUAGAUAUGACACAGAACACCGAUUGCGAAGGCAGCUGACGAAACUGUAACUGACGCUGAGGCUCGAAAGCGUGGGGAUCAAACAGG
rnacentral:rRNA from 1 species